rnacentral:rRNA from 1 species
UUUUUGAGUAUAAUUUAAAGUUUAAUYUGYUCAAUGAUUAAUUAAAUAGCUGCAGUAAUUUAACUGUACAAAGGUAGCAUAAUCAAUAGUUUUUUAAUUGGAAGCUGGAAUGAAGGAUUGGAUGAAAUAAUAAUUGUCUCAAAUUUAAUAAAAUUAGAAUUUUUUUUUUAGUUAAAAAACUAAGAUGAUUUUAAAAGACGAGAAGACCCUAUAGAUUUUUAUAAUUUUUUUAAUUUAAUAUAAAUAUUAUAAUUUAUAAUUAAAUUGGAAAAUUAUUUAAUUGGGGAAAUUGUUAAAUUUAAUUAAUUUUAAUUUUUUAAAAACAAUAAUUAUUGAAUAAUUGAUCUUAACUAUAGAUUACAAGAAUAAAAUACCUUAGGGAUAACAGCGUAAUAUUUUUAGAGAGAUCAUAUUAAUAAAAAUGGUUGCGACCUCGAUGUUGAAUUAAAAUAAAAUUAUAAUGAAGAAGUUAUAAAUUUUUGGUCUGUUCGACCAUUAAAAUUUUACGUGAUCUGAGUUCAAA